CCUACGGGUGGCUGCAGUGAGGAAUAUUGGUCAAUGGGCGCGAGCCUGAACCAGCCAAGUAGCGUGAAGGAUGACUGCCCUACGGGUUGUAAACUUCUUUUAUAAAGGAAUAAAGUGAGGCACGUGUGCCUUUUUGUAUGUACUUUAUGAAUAAGGAUCGGCUAACUCCGUGCCAGCAGCCGCGGUAAUACGGAGGAUCCGAGCGUUAUCCGGAUUUAUUGGGUUUAAAGGGAGCGUAGGUGGGUUGUUAAGUCAGGUGUGAAAGUUUGGGGCUCAACCGUCAAAGUGCAGUUGAUCCUGGCAGUCGUGAGUGGGAGAGAAGUAGGCGGAAUGCGUGGUGUAGCGGUGAAAUGCAUAGAUAUCGCGAAGAACUCCGAUUGCGAAGGCAGCAUGCCGGACUGCCACUGACGCUGAUGCACGAAAGUGUGGGUAUCGAACAGGAUUAGAUACCCGGGUAGUC
rnacentral:rRNA from 1 species